CACCCCUUCCGGCUCCACGGAGGUGGCAGAGCCGGGGAAGCCCACUCCUUCGGGUUAGUCUUACCAUGGUUACGUCGACAUUAUAUUUUUGCUGUCGUUGGCUCAUUCUAAGGUUUUCAUCAGCUCAUGAAGAAAUGGGGUAAAGGAAACACACAAAAGAAGAAAAACAGUGAGUGCCAAGGUCUGGUGUAAGCUUUGACACAACUACAGGCAACAGAGGCUUCAAGCACCUAUGUAAACUGAUCGUCUCCGGUUACUUGUCAACAGGACGAGAAGCUGGCAGCCAACCUCCUUGCCACCAGAACCUGGCAAAGGUGUGCAUACCACAGCCAUGGUCUUAACAGGGCUUCCAUUCUCCAUCUUCCGAGCAAGAACCGCGGCUGAAAUUUAGCAGAGCUUCAAGAACCAGCUCUCCAUGGUCCCAAUACACAGCUGACAGCAUGACCCUGGCAGAAUUCUUCAUCUGCCGCUUCAUCAGAAAACUGGGAAUGAAGCAACUCCUCCUUCCAAGUCCACUAUGACGGUUACAUGCAUAAACACGUGCAGAAGAAUGGAAUCCUCCAGCGCACUUCCCUGGACAAGCUGAGGCUCACAGGUGAUAGAAGCAGAAAUUGCAUAGCUCACCACUGACAGGACUCAAGGCAAACUUCAAGCCACUCUCUUGGCCAUCCUCAUGUGAGGGGUGGGAAGUCUCUCUAAAGGCAGAGGCUGAGGUACUGGCUGGGGGCUCGGAAGCUCAUGUUGCCCCCUGACUCCUAUAUGAGUUCUCAAAAAGUCUGAGUUGAGCCCAAAGAGA